rnacentral:rRNA from 1 species
AUUGAACGCUGGCGGCAGGCCUAACACAUGCAAGUCGAGCGGAGCGGCGGACGGGUGAGUAAUGCCUAGGAAUCUGCCUGGUAGUGGUGGAUAACGUCCGGAAACGGGCGCUAAUACCGCAUACUAUCAGAUGAACCUAGGUCGGAUUAGCUAGUUGGUGGGGUAAAGGCCUACCAAGGCGACGAUCCGUAACUGGUCUGAGCGGAUGAUCAGUCACACUGGAACGGGGACAGGGUCCAGACGCCUACGGGAGGCAGCAGUGGGGAAUAUGGGACAAUGGGCGAAAGCUGGAUCCAGACAUGCCGCGUGUGUGAAGAAGGUCUUGGGAUUGUAAGGCACUUUAAGUUGGGAGGCGUUACUAACAGAAUAAGCACCGGCUAACUUCGUGCCAGCAGCCGCGGUAAUUC